UGGGGAAUAUUGCACAAUGGGCGCAAGCCUGAUGCAGCCAUGCCGCGUGUAUGAAGAAGGCCUUCGGGUUGUAAAGUACUUUCAGCGGGGAGGAAGGCGAUAAGGUUAAUAACCUUGUCGAUUGACGUUACCCGCAGAAGAAGCACCGGCUAACUCCGUGCCAGCAGCCGCGGUAAUACGGAGGGUGCAAGCGUUAAUCGGAAUUACUGGGCGUAAAGCGCACGCAGGCGGUCUGUCAAGUCGGAUGUGAAAUCCCCGGGCUCAACCUGGGAACUGCAUUCGAAACUGGCAGGCUAGAGUCUUGUAGAGGGGGGUAGAAUUCCAGGUGUAGCGGUGAAAUACGUAGAGAUCUGGAGGAAUACCGGUGGCGAAGGCGGCCCCCUGGACAAAGACUGACGCUCAGGUGCGAAAGCGUGGGGAGCAAACA
rnacentral:rRNA from 1 species